rnacentral:rRNA from 1 species
GAUGAACGCUAGCGGCAGGCCUAACACAUGCAAGUCGAGGGGUAGCAGGAUUAAGCUUGCUUAAUUGCUGACGACCGGCGCACGGGUGCGUAACGCGUAUGCAACCUACCUUAUACUGGGGUAUAGCCCGGAGAAAUUCGGAUUAAUCCCCCAUAGUACUAAUGAAUCGCAUGGUUUAUUAGUUAAAGCAUUGCGGUAUAAGAUGGGCAUGCGUCCUAUUAGCUAGAUGGUGAGGUAACGGCUCACCAUGGCUACGAUAGGUAGGGGGCCUGAGAGGGUGGGCCCCCACACUGGUACUGAGACACGGACCAGACUCCCACGGGAGGCAGCAGUGAGGAAUAUUGGUCAAUGGGCGCAAGCCUGAACCAGCCAUGCCGCGUGCAGGAAGAAUGCCCUAUGGGUUGUAAACUGCUUUUAUUUGGGAAUAAACCUCUUUACGUGUAGAGAGCUGAAGGUACCAAAUGAAUAAGCACCGGCUAACUCCGUGCCAGCCGCCGCAGUAA